CAGUAAUGUAAAAGACAACCCCACCUUCACAUCUUGCGAGAAGAGGACGAUUGUCMGAAUUAGUGAAGGAGUUCAGAGAUCUUUUUAGUCACAGUGAAAGAUAAAUCCAAAUGUCCAAAUGUUGAAAAACCUUUGAAGACUGACUUCUCCUUCUUUGGCUGGAUCUCAGCAUGAACUCAAACUGGAUUCCUGCUUGGUCUGCRUUUCCACCAUCCGGAGAGCGGCCUCCAACACCCUACCCAUCUUCCCACCCUCAAAACGUAACUGCGGCACCGUGCCUCCCGCUCUCUGGGAAUGGCACUGUCAGUUGUGGUCUCUGAGGGAGAGGCGCUACCUCUCUGUCAGCCUGCAAGAAAGCUGCAGUGUGGAGAAUCAAAGCCCAGAUCCAGGCAGAUAAUC
rnacentral:lncRNA from 1 species